rnacentral:rRNA from 1 species
GGACCAAGGAGUCUAGCAUGUGCGCGAGUCAUUGGGACUCUAACGAAACCUAAAGGCGUAAUGAAAGUGAAGGCCCGCCUAGCGCGGGCCGAGGGAGGAUGGGUGUCCUCGCGGGGACGCCCCGCACUCCCAGGGCGUCUCGUUCUCAUUGCGAGAAGAGGCGCACCAAGAGCGUACACGCUGGGACCCGAAAGAUGGUGAACUAUGCCUGGUCAGGACGAAGUCAGGGGAAACCCUGAUGGAGGUCCGUAGCGAUUCUGACGUGCAAAUCGAUCGUCGGAACUGGGUAUAGGGGCGAAAGACUAAUCGAACCAUCUAGUAGCUGGUUCCCUCCGAAGUUUCCCUCAGGAUAGCUGGCGCUCGCUUCUCGCGAGUCUCAUUCGGUAAAGCGAAUGAUUAGAGGCAUUGGGGUCGAAACGGCCUCAACCUAUUCUCAAACUUUAAAUGGGUGAGAUCUCCGGCUUGCUUGAACUGUGAAGCCGCGAGAUAUCGGAUCAGAGUGCCAAGUGGGCCACUUUUGGUAAGCAGAACUGGCGCUGUGGGAUGAACCAAACGCUGAGUUAAAGCGCCUAAAUCGACGCUUAUGGGAUACCAUGAAAGGCGUUGGUAACUUAAGACAGCAGGACGGUGGCCAUGGAAGUCGGA